GUUGGAGUCAUAAGAAAAGGCCCAAUGGUUGACUAUUACGUUCAAGUUCUAACCAAAGUUCUUGGGAAUGAGAAGGAUGCACAGAUGUGCUUAUAUCAUGUGUCCUGGCAAGCCAAUUAUGGAUUUUGUUGCGAAUUAGAUGAGGCGUGUGCUCAAGAAUUAGCUGGAGUGCCUGGUGUUCUAUCUGUUCAGCCAGAUGAAAAUUUUGAUUCGGACAAUAAAGACUAUGGAGGUGGGAAUUUGAAGCUGAGUGUAGAUUCCCAGGAAUCUACAGCAUCAAAGGAGGAAACCGAUGUUAGAACGAAGAAGCUUUUUGUGACUGGUUUGUCAUUCUAU
rnacentral:misc_RNA from 1 species